CAGUCGCCGCGGGAAUACGUAGGUAGCAAGCGUUGUCCGGAAUUAUUGGGCGUAAAGGGCUCGCAGGCGGUUUCUUAAGUCUGAUGUGAAAGCCCCCGGCUCAACCGGGGAGGGUCAUUGGAAACUGGGAAACUUGAGUGCAGAAGAGGAGAGUGGAAUUCCACGUGUAGCGGUGAAAUGCGUAGAGAUGUGGAGGAACACCAGUGGCGAAGGCGACUCUCUGGUCUGUAACUGACGCUGAGGAGCGAAAGCGUGGGGAGCGAACAGGAUUAGAUACCCCCGUAGUCCCUGUCUCUUAUAC
rnacentral:rRNA from 1 species